UUAAUUUGUUUGAUAACUUUUCUGUCCCCUUCAUUGUUUUUUAAAUCAUAUUUGUAGUUUGAAUACUUUUGUAGCAGAAAACAUUGCAUGCCUUUAUAUACUCAGGAUUCUCUUUUCUAUUUAUUUUUUAUUUUAUUUAUUUUUUUGUUUUAAGAAUUGUUUACUCUCUUUUGCAACAAUAAUUGUGGUGCCACAUGGAACAUUGCAUUGAUGAGUUUUUCAUUUAGACUUUUGUCCCAAAAUGUUUUAUCUUCAAAAUAUUUGUUAAAAUUUUAAAAUUCAAUUGACUAUUGAAAAAUAUAUGAAUUCAAAUCAUUUUAGAUUUAUUAUAAAUAGUUGAAUUUUCUGAAAAAUGAUAGGCAUGCUGAAAAUUUUUAAAUCUCACCAAAUAUGUCUAAUUUGUUUUUUUUGUUUUUUUGUUUUUUUUGCUGUAUUCACAUGUGUUGUGUGGGUACCUUUGUCAAUGUUUCAAGAACUAUACACAUGCAUGUAUAUAUACCUGAUUAUGUUUCAAAGAUGAGGUUAAGUAGAAUAGUGUUAUCAAACAAUUAUUUAGGGCAUGGAUUUAAAACAUAUACAUACACAACAUUAUUAAGUAAAAACAAUUUUCAAUUUUAUCUCCUCACUGAAAUCUAUAUUUAUUUUUAAAAAAUGAAACACUUUUUAGUUUUAUUUUUUAAUAUAAUUUAAAAGCUAUGCUCACAAAGUCAUUCUAGAUUUUUCUGCUUAUUCAGUUACACAAACAUCACAUACAAAUAAAUGAAUACAUAAAUAAAGUCAGAAAAAAGGGAUGGUGUGACACUACUUUGGCAGCCACAUGUAACACUUGCCACAUCAAAGGCUUGGCCCCAUUAGCACCCCCUC
rnacentral:lncRNA from 1 species